CUUGAACUUCAAAGCAUGGUAGUAUUGAAAAGAAAAGGCUCGCCAAGGUAAUAAAGAAAACAGUAAAAACUCGAGGAAGAGACGUCACUAACCAAUCUCAGAGUCAGUAUGUUAGAGGUAAUAAUGCUAUAAGUUCAUGUCAUUUUCGUUGAUGUUUUGGGUAGUUAGGUUCAUGAAAUAACAAUACACUUUUCUAUACAGCAGAUACCAGAUUAUGAAAGAGUGUUUUGUGGAGAAGAUAGCUGGAGUCAUUGUAGAAUUUGUAAUCAGCGGAUGAUAACACAUCGUGAUCUGGUUUAAAAGAAGCUAAAUGAGAAACUAUCUGUACCAAAGGCGUGGAGAUUCUGCAGAUGAGGAGAGUAAGAGGAACUCUGCAAGUGAUGGGCCAGCGAAAGCUAAGCGCCCAAGAUGUGAGAAGUAGAGCUCCCAUUCAUCUUCUCACUUAUUGCAUGCUUCAAUGAUGUUUAAGUCUUUUUUUCAGUUUAAGUAUUGACUUAUGAUUUCCUUUCAGUUUUUUGCUUUUCAGUGUUUUUUUUCCUUGAAACAUUUUAUCUACUUUGCAUGAUUAGCAGCUAAAAAUCAUGUUUACUGUUUUAUCACUCUGCUUCAUCAGAAUUACAUUGCUCAGUUUAUUA